rnacentral:lncRNA from 1 species
AUGAAGGGACUAAAAAAGUUUUUUUCCAUUUUAAAGCAUGACUUUCUUUUCCUUCCACCUGAAGGCUGCACAGUAUUCCUCAGAGCAGCUGUCCGCAGCAAGAAAUUCAUCAUUCACUCUCUGAUCAGCACAUACAGCACGGGGGACUGGCGCUGUUUACACACAUGCCUGCAUUCGGAUAGAGAGCGGAUACACAGAAAGACACAAAACAGGGAACCGGUCCCAGCACAACCUCCUUGUUUUUCAAACCACUGCGUGGGCACCUUCGUGGCCGGAUGGUGCAGCCCUGUGCCGGCACAGCCCCCUCCUUUUCCCUGGGAAGAUUUUUGCUCUCCUACUCUCACCACUGAAAUAAAUGCCAGUCGGGCUCAUUUGCUUAGCACAGGAGGUCCUGCGUGGAGGUGGAAGGAGCGAUGCACGGAGCAGUCAUCUCAUUUCCAGCCCAUGAUUUGA